rnacentral:rRNA from 1 species
GUACUGGGAUGUACGAGGAGAAAGGAUUUAUUCGCUGAGGGAUGGGCCUGCGGCCUAUCAGGUAGUUGGUGGGGUAAAGGCCUACCAAGCCUGCGACGGGUAGCCGGACUGAGAGGUCGACCGGCCACACUGGAACUGAGACACGGUCCAGACUCCUACGGGAGGCAGCAGUGGGGAAUAUUGCACAAUGGGAGAAACCCUGAUGCAGCGACGCCGCGUGGAGGAUGACGGCCUUCGGGUUGUAAACUCCUUUUGUCAGGGACAAUGGUGAUGGUACCUGACGAAUAAGCCACGGCUAACUCUGUGCCAGCAGCCGCGGUAAGACAGAGGUGGCGAGCGUUGUUCGGAAUUACUGGGCUUAAAGGGCGCGUAGGCGGUGGUGUAAGUCUGGGGUGGAAUGCUACAGCUCAACUGUAGAGCUGCCUUGGAAACUGCAUUACUUGAGUCGGUGAGGGGAAGGCGGAAUUCCUGGUGUAGCGGUGAAAUGCGUAGAUAUCAGGAGGAAGGUCUGUGGCGAAGGCGGCCUUCUGGCACUUGACUGACGCUGAGGCGCGAAAGCGUGGGGAGCAAACAGGAUUAGAUACCCUGGUAGUCCACGCCCUAAACGGUGGGUAUUAGGUGUGGGGCCUUCAUGGGUUCCGUGCCGUAGCGAAAGCA